rnacentral:lncRNA from 1 species
UGCAACACACGUGCAUAACUAUUUAUCUAUACCACCGGUAUACGGCAACUCUAAUAAAAUAGUGUUGCAUAUUGAACACUUUAGCGGCGAUUUUCGCCAAAAAAAUUAUCUCCUUCUUCUUCUUCUUCAACAUGUUCUUAUUCUUGGAAACGGAUACUCACUGAUGUCCACUGCCUAAACAGUGUCUCUACUAUAAGCUUGACACUACGCUUUAUUCUUAAAGUAUCAAAACUAAGCAAAUGAUUCAUGAAUUCUUCAUCUCGGUACAUUGCUUAUUGACGAGAUACGUCGAGUAGCGCGUCGAGUAUCAGCCUUUUUCCAGAUUUUUUAAAAAUUCUGAAAACGAGUAGUGCUGAAAAGUGUCUACCUUAUGAGUAAUACACGCUCCUGUUGAACGACAGGAAAUUGAAUUGCGGCGGAUUUGAAUGGUCAAAAGCUCCUAUAUAUGGACCGAGUUUAACAGAAAGGAACCAAGCCACAUCAGCUAUUGCCAAGUUUAACUGGGCAGUUAAAUUUUUUACGGAAGAACGUUUGUUCGGAUUUCCUUGAAAAUUUUAAGGAAUUUGCUUCGUACCAUGGAGAAUUUUCACUGAAAUUUGCACGAAAAUCCGCACAACCGUUUUUGUGUAAAAAAUUAAAUUGACCAAUUUUUGGCAAUAGCUGAUGUGGCUUGGUUCCUUUCUGUUUAACUCGGUCCAUAUAUCCUUUAAUUACGGACCUACACCUAAAUGUUGUACAUUUUCUUCUACAUUAUGCCUCUAACAUGGCUUGGUAUCCUUGAACAAACUUCAUUCAAAACAAAACAAGAAGAAACUAACACUCCGUUAAUUUCAUGCAGUUUCAGUUGUGGAUAGGAGUUGGGCUUUGCUUUCUACUUGGAAACUCGGCUGUGCUGUACAGUGCCUUGCUUUAUUUGCCUGGAUGGCCCUACAAUAUUGUUGAGCACAUGGUCUACAACCCUCUACACAGAGUCAUGUUCGCUUUAGUCCCAUGCUUCAUCCUUAUUGGUCAAGGGACUACCGGCUUUGGAAUAGCAAGCAGAUUUACAUCAGCACCUCUAUUUGUAUCUCUGGGCCGUCUCACAUACAGCGCGUAUUUAGUUCACCCGAUAGUUCAGUUGAUCGUGAUCUAUUCUGAUCGAACGUCUUUUUCACUUUCUUUCAUACGAAUUGCAUGGUCAACUUGUGGAGACAUUUUUAUGUCAUUUUUACUGGCAGCAGUCUUGAAUCUUCUUUUUGAAUCACCAGUGGAUCGGUUACAAAAGAAAAUCUUCCACUCUUUCAUUCAUGAGUACAAAGAACCCAAUAAACUACUGAAGCAAAAUGGGGAGAACCAAACAUCUAAAAAACAAGAGGUCGUCCCAGCUCAGGAGAGAUUACCAUCGUAAAUCGUGGAAGUCUCUUGUUUGGCUUCAGAAAAGAAAGUGAUAUUUUAUUGCAUAUUUCGAAUUAGUUUCAAGGUAAAAAUGCACUACUCUCGAUUAUCAUUAAAUGCUAGGAUAAAAACUUGCUGGACCUAAAAUUUCCUCAUGUGAGUAAAGCAAGUGUAUGCAAAGCAAGGAUUCAAGCAAGUAUAACUGUUUUAUGAUCAAAUUAUUCUUCUGAUAAAAUGAAAUAUUUGUAAAAAGAGAUUAUAUUGGUAAAUUUGAAAAAC